GGGAUGAAAUGGAGGCAGUGAGAGAUUUUACUUUCUUCGGCUCCAUGAUCACUGCAGAUGGUGACAGCAGUCACGAAAUUAAAAGACACCUGCUUCUUGGGAGAAAAGCGAUGACAAACCUAGACAGCAUCUUAAAAAGCAGAGACAUCACCUUGCCGACAAAGGUCCAUAUAGUUAAAGCUAUGGUUUUCCCAGUAGUGAUGUAAUGGAAGUGAGAGCUGGACCAUAAAGAAGGCUGGUCACUAAAGAAUUGAUGCUUUUGAAUUUUGGUGCUGGAGGAGACUCUUGAGAGUCCCAUGGACUGCAAGAAGAUCAAACCUAUCCAUUCUGAAGGAAAUCAGCCCUGAGUGCUCACUGGAAGGACAGAUCCUGAAGCUGAGGCUCCAAUACUUUAGCCACCUAAUGAGAAGAGAAGACUCCCUGGAAAAGACGCUGAUGUUGGGAAAGAUGUUGGGCACAAGGAGAAGGGGACAACA